GGGAUUGCCUCAGUAACGGCGAGUGAAGCGGCAAAAGCUCAAAUUUUAAAGCUGGCAUCUUCGGUGUCCGCGUUGUAAUUUUGUGAGGCAUCUCCGGGUAGGGCGCCGGCCUAAGUUCCUUGGAACAGGACGUCACAGAGGGUGAGAAUCCCGUGCUUGGCUGGCUGUCCCCGUCCAUGUGAGGUGUCUUCGACGAGUCGAGUUGUUUGGGAAUGCAGCUCAAAAUGGGUGGUAAAUUUCAUCUAAAGCUAAAUAUUGGUGGGAGACCGAUAGCGCACAAGUAGAGUGAUCGAAAGAUGAAAAGCACUUUGAAAAUAGAGUUAAAAAGUACGUGAAAUUGUUGAAAGGGAAGCGCUUGAGAUCAGACUUCGGUAGGGGGUGAUCAGCCGUCCUUCUGGGCGGUGCACUUGCCCCUCUCCGGGCCAGCAUCGGUUGAGGCGGCGGGAUAAAGGUCCCGGGAAUGUGGCUCCUUCGCGGGAGUGUUAUAGCCCGGGUGAAUGCCGCCAGUCUCGACCGAGGACCGCACCCGCAAGGGUUAGGAUGCUUGGCAUAAUGGUCUUCAGCGACCCGUCUUGAAACACGGACCAAGGAGUCUAACAUCUAUGCGAGUGUUUGGGUGUCAAACCCUUGCGCGAAAUGAAAGUGAACGGAGGUGGGAACCCGCAAGGGCGCACCAUCGACCGGUCCUGAAGUCUUCUGAAGGAUCUGAGUAGGAGCAUAGCUGUUGGGACCCGAAAGAUGGUGAACUAUGCCUGAAUAGGGUGAAGCCAGAGGAAACUCUGGUGGAGGCUCGCAGCGGUUCUGACGUGCAAAUCGAUCGUCAAAUUUGGGUAUAGGGGGCGAAAGACUAAUCGAACCAUCUAGUAGCUGGUUCCUGCGAUUCCCCCCCCCGGAGAAAAUAA
rnacentral:rRNA from 1 species